rnacentral:rRNA from 1 species
GUGUAGGGAGGGCGUUUUCGUGGUUGGGCACAUUUAUGUGCUUUUGCUACGGCGCUUUCUUGUGCGCGGACGUUCGAGGCCAGGAGUUCGAUGGUGCGCUUUGCCCACCACAGCACGUUGUGAGGUCACCCACAGACGCGAGUUGCCGAUUGCGCGUUCGGCUUGUCUGCAUUGUUGUGUCGCAAAAUACACGGAGACCACACACCCCUUUGCGUCUCCGGGACACUGGCAGCAAGUAUACCAUAUCGAACAGGGCGGCACCAACUGCGGUCGCGUUCUGGUAUGAUCCUCUAGCGACGAGCUGCUUUCUGGUCAUGUGCUGGUUUUUUUGCCCGGGCUCUCCUCAUGUGCCGAGGAGAGCCUACAUUCGGCGGCCUGAGCCUACGUAACUGCGUGUUGCGUGCCUCCGCCGGGCUCCAGCCAGAGUGGUGUAAAGUCCAGCCCCAUGGGUCACGUCUCGAAACACGGGCCAAGGAGUAUAGCAUGUGUGCGAGUCUAAGGGUCUCACAAAACCCGCAGGCGAUAGUGAAAGCAAGAUUGUGGCAGGUGAGCUUCGGCGACCCUGUCAGGUCUGGUGCGUAUGUGUGGGAGGGGAGCAAUCCUCUCUCUUCAUGUGCCGCCGGCUUUUGGUGAAACAAAGCCGAUCCUGCUAUCACGGCAAUGUCUUGAGGCAGGCGCAGGCUUCGGGCUCGCCUACAGUAGUGGUCGGUUUCGGCCGGCUCUGCUGCGAGCACCGUGGAGCAUGCAUGCUAUGACCCGAAAGAUA